rnacentral:rRNA from 1 species
UACGGAGGGUGCAAGCGUUAUCCGGAUUUACUGGGUUUAAAGGGUGUGUAGGCGGACUUUUAAGUCAGCGGUGAAAUCUCCGGGCUCAACCCGGAAACUGCCAUUGAUACUAUUGGUCUUGAAUGUUGUUGAGGUGGGCGGAACGGGUCAUGUAGCGGUGAAAUGCAUAGAUAUGACCCGGAACACCGAUUGCGAAGGCAGCCCACUAAGCAACGAUUGACGCUGAGGCACGAAAGCGUGGGGAUCAAACAGGA